AACGCAGCGAAGGGCGAUACGUAAUGUGAAUUGCAGAAUUCAGUGAAUCAUCGAAUCUUUGAACGCAUAUUGCGCUCUUUGGUAUUCCGAAGAGCAUGCUUGUUUGAGUAUCAGUAAACACCUCAACCUCCUCUUGAUUUUUCAAAAGGAGGGUGGACUUGAGCUAUCCCAACAACCUUUACCGGUAGGCGGGCGGCUUGAAAUGCAGGUGCAGCUGGACUUUUAUCUGAGCUAAAAGCAUAUCUAUUAGUCCUCGUCAAACAGGAUUAUUACUAUUGCUGCAGCUAAUAUAAAGGUCGAAUGUACUAUACGCUGACUGAUGCAGGAUUACCAAGUUUUACCUAGUAAAACUUGUAAACUCGAUCUCAAAUCAAGUAAGACUACCCGCUGAACUUAA
rnacentral:rRNA from 1 species